rnacentral:rRNA from 1 species
AUUGAACGCUGGCGGCGUGCCUAACACAUGCAAGUCGAGCGGUAACAGGUGUAGCAAUACAUGCUGACGAGCGGCGAACGGGUGAGUAAUGCUUUGGAAUCUUCCCAGUAGUGGGGAAUAACCAGUCGAAAGAUUGGCUAAUACCGCAUACGUCUGUAAAGGGGAAAGCGGGGGCUCGUAAGACCUCGCGCUAUUGGAUGAGCCAAAGUCGGAUUAGCUAGGUUGGGGGGUAAUGGCCUACCAAGGCGACAAUCCGUAGCUGGUCUGAGAGGACGACCAGCCACACCGGAACUGAGACACGGUCCGGACUCCUACGGGAGGCAGCGAGUGGGGAAUAUUGGACAAGUGGGGGAAACCCUGAUCCAGCGACGCCGCGUGUGUGAAGAAGGCC